rnacentral:rRNA from 1 species
AAGCAGCCAUUCAUUUAAAGAGUGCGUAACAGCUCACUAGUCGAGGAGUUUGGCGUGGAUAAUAAUCGGGCAUCAAGCAAUUUACCGAAGCUAUGGGAUCAGUAAUGAUCGGUAGGGGAGCAUUCCACUCUGCGUCGAAGGUGAAGCGUGAGCUUUGCUGGAGCGUGUGGAAAAGCAAAUGUAGGUAUAAGUAACGAUAAAGGGGGUGAGAAACCCCCUCGCCGAGAGACUAAGGUUUCCUGAUCAACGCUAAUCGGAUCAGGGUUAGUCGGGUCCUAAGGCUCAGCCGAACGGUGAGGCCGAUGGCAGAACAGGUUAAUAUUCCUGUACUACCUUAAGGAGUGACGUGGAGACGGAGGAGUGACAGCGCCGCGGACUGACGGAAUAGUCCGUUGAAGGGUGUAGAUGUUGAUUAUCCCAGGCAAAUCCAGGAUAAGAGUCGAACCUGAUAGUAUACCAAAUUCUUCGGAAUAAGGUAAUAGUGCGUGUAAGCAUACUCCCAAGAAAAUCCGCUAAACUUAAUCUUUAAGGUACCCGUACCGCAAACGGACACACGUAGUCGGGUUGAAUAUACUAAGGCGCUUGAGUGAUUCACGGUUAAGGA